rnacentral:rRNA from 1 species
GAUGAACGCUGACAGAAUGCUUAACACAUGCAAGUCUACUUGAACUUCGGUUUGGGUGGCGGACGGGUGAGUAACGCGUAAAGAACUUGCCUCACAGUUAGGGACAACAUUUGGAAACGAAUACUAAUACCUGAUAUUAUGAUUUUAGGGCAUCCUAAGAUUAUGAAAGCUAUAUGCGCUGUGAGAGAGCUUUGCGUCCCAUUAGCUAGUUGGAGAGGUAACGGCUCACCAAGGCGAUGAUGGGUAGCCGGCCUGAGAGGGUGAACGGCCACAAGGGGACUGAGACACGGCCCUUACUCCUACGGGAGGCAGCAGUGGGGAAUAUUGGACAAUGGACCAAAAGUCUGAUCCAGCAAUUCUGUGUGCACGAUGACGUUUUUCGGAAUGUAAAGUGCUUUCAGUUGGGAAGAAAAAAAUGACGGUACCAACAGAAGAAGUGACGGCUAAAUACGUGCCAGCAGCCGCGGUAAUACGUAUGUCACAAGCGUUAUCCGGAUUUAUUGGGCGUAAAGCGCGUCUAGGUGGUUAUGUAAGUCUGAUGUGAAAAUGCAGGGCUCAACUCUGUAUUGCGUUGGAAACUGCAUGACUAAAGUACUGGAGAGGUAAGCGGAACUACAAGUGUAGAGGUGAAAUUCGUAGAUAUUUGUAGGAAUGCCGAUGGGGAAGCCAGCUUACUGGACAGAUACUGACGCUAAAGCGCGAAAGCGUGGGUAGCAAACAGG